rnacentral:rRNA from 1 species
CCUACGGGGGGCAGCAGUGAGGAAUAUUGGUCAAUGGGCGGGAGCCUGAACCAGCCAAGUCGCGUGAGGGAUGACGGCCCUAUGGGUUGUAAACCUCUUUUGCCGGGGAGCAACGUGCCGCACGCGUGCGGUUUGGAGAGUACCCGGAGAAAAAGCAUCGGCUAACUCCGUGCCAGCAGCCGCGGUAAUACGGAGGAUGCGAGCGUUAUCCGGAUUUAUUGGGGUUAAAGGGUGCGUAGGCGGACGCUUACAUCAGCGGGAAAAUUUCGGGGCUCAACCUCGUCGAGCCGUUGAAACUGGGUGCCUUGAGUGGGCGAGAAGUACGCGGAAUGCGUGGUGUAGCGGUGAAAUGCAUAGAUAUCACGCAGAACUCCGAUUGCGAAGGCAGCAUACCGGCGCCCAACUGACGCUGAAGCACGAAGGCGUGGGUAUCGAACAGGAUUAGAUACCCGAGUAGUC